AAGUCGUAACAAGGUUUCCGUAGGUGAACCUGCGGAAGGAUCAUUUUAAAGAUUUUAUUUCAUUUUUGUGAAACAUAACAUUAUUAUUCCAGCAUUGAAACUUUUUAUUUAUAAGAAAAAAAGAAAACUUUCAACAAUGGAUCUCUUGGUUCUU
rnacentral:misc_RNA from 1 species